UACGGAGGGGGCUAGCGUUGUUCGGAAUUACUGGGCGUAAAGUGCACGUAGGCGGCUUUGUAAGUUAGAGGUGAAAGCCCGGAGCUCAACUCCGGAAUUGCCUUUAAGACUGCAUCGCUCGAAUCAUGGAGAGGUGAGUGGAAUUCCGAGUGUAGAGGUGAAAUUCGUAGAUAUUCGGAAGAACACCAGUGGCGAAGGCGACUCACUGGACAUGUAUUGACGCUGAGGUGCGAAAGCGUGGGGAGCAAACAGG
rnacentral:rRNA from 1 species